CCGUAACUUCGGGAGAAGGGGUGCUGUAGAAAUACAGCCGCAGUGAAAAGAUCCAAGCAACCGUUUAUCAAAAACACAGCUCUCUGCUAAACCGCAAGGUGAUGUAUAGGGGGUGACGCCUGCCCGGUGCUGGAAGGUUAAGAGGAGUGCUUAGACGUAAGUCGAAGGUAUGAAUUGAAGCCCCAGUAAACGGCGGCCGUAACUAUAACGGUCCUA
rnacentral:rRNA from 1 species